GGGCGUAUGGUCUAGAGGUAUGAUACCUGCUUUGGGCGAUGAGUUCAUUGCAGGGGGUCUUCGGUUCGAAUCCGGAUUCGCCCC